ACGACUCUCGGCAACGGAUAUCUUGGCUCACGCAUCGAUGAAGAACGUAGCAAAAUGCGAUACUUGGUGUGAAUUGCAGAAUCCCGUGAACCAUCGAGUUUUUGAACGCAAGUUGCGCCCAAGCCAUCUGGUUGAGGGCACGCCUGCCUGGGCGUCAUGCAUC
rnacentral:rRNA from 1 species